AUUGAACGCUGGCGGCAUGCUUUACACAUGCAAGUCGAACGGUAACAGGCCGCAAGGUGCUGACGAGUGGCGAACGGGUGAGUAAUGCAUCGGAACGUGCCCAGUCGUGGGGGAUAACGCAGCGAAAGCUGCGCUAAUACCGCAUACGAUCUAUGGAUGAAAGCGGGGGACCGUAAGGCCUCGCGCGAUUGGAGCGGCCGAUGUCAGAAUAGGUAGUUGGUGGGGUAAAGGCUCACAAAGCCGACGAGCUGUAGCUGGUCUGAGAGGACGACCAGCCACACUGGGACUGAGACACGGCCCAGACUCCUACGGGAGGCAGCAGUGGGGAAUUUUGGACAAUGGGCGCAAGCCUGAUCCAGCAAUGCCGCGUGCAGGAAGAAGGCCUUCGGGUUGUAAACUGCUUUUGUACGGAACGAAACGGUCCUGGUUAAUACCUGGGGCUAAUGACGGUACCGUAAGAAUAAGCACCGGCUAACUACGUGCCAGCCGCCGCAGUAAAAC
rnacentral:rRNA from 1 species